UCUAUAUCCAGAGCCGCGUUUUCCUUUCUAUGUAUAUUCCCUAUUGCCUAAUGCCACACCAUUUUGGAUUGAUUGACGCAGGCCUUCUCAUCACCUCAAAAUAAGCUAAGGCUCUCAUUCUCUUUGGCUGUCUUUGUUUGCCAUCACCGAAUCUAGGAUUAGUAUAUAAAAAACCCUCUUCUUUUUCUUUUUAACCAUCUUCUUCCCUUUUCUUGGUUGCUGUGGGAUAAAACACCAAGAUUUCUACAACAUAAAUAUGUGUCCUCUGAGGUUUAUCUUGGUGUUUUUCUCAGCAGUUUUGGCUGGAUACUUUGCAUGGAGGUCUGUGCGGUCGUCGCCGGAGAUUGAAAGCAUGAAUUCCGAUGAUUCAACAGUUAAAAGGAAACCAUUGAAUCACAAACAAGAAUUCACUGUGAAGAAGAUGGUUCAAAAUGGAUUCUGGGUAUUUGUCGACAUGGCCAGUGGAAAGUACCUGUGGAGGAAUCUGAAGGAGAUGAGGAAAGAUGAGAAAGUUAAGAGCUGCUAGAUUUUUUUUUUUUUUAAUCAAACCUUUUUUUCCCUUUCGCCAUUCUACCCCCCUGUGGGGAAGGAGGAGAAAUUGGAAUUUGAGGGCAGGGCAGGUACGGUACAGAUAUCACAUGCUGCAAAUGUAAUUCAGUUGAGAAUCCUUCUGAGAAUCUGAGG
rnacentral:misc_RNA from 1 species